rnacentral:lncRNA from 1 species
AUCUUGUUUCUUCGAGUUGAUUUUAUUAUAUCUAAUGUUGAAUAAUGUUUGUUUCACUAAUCCCUAUUUGAACAUAUAACCUAUUAAAUUAAUUUUGGAAAUAAUCAUAUGAAAAAUUAUGUUGUAUUAAAAAUAUCUCUUACAUUGAUCAAUAGUUUUCUAAUAUUCUUCAACUCAACAUUUAUCUCAUGUUUUUUUAUGGUUAAAAU